rfam:Triticum aestivum genome assembly, contig: Triticum_aestivum_CS42_TGACv1_scaffold_112606_2AS
UAUCUACUCCCUCCGUCUAAAAAUACUUGUCAUUGAAAUGGAUGUAUCUAGAUGUAUUUUAAUUUUAGAUACAUCUAUUUUCAUUCAUUUUGAUAACAAGUAUUUUCGGACGGAGGGAAUACUUG